rnacentral:rRNA from 1 species
CAGCAGCCGCGGUAAUACGGAGGGGGCUAGCGUUAAUCGGAUUUACUGGGCGUAAAGCGUGCGUAGGCGGCUUCUUAAGUCGGAUGUGAAAUCCCUGAGCUUAACUUAGGAAUUGCAUUCGAUACUGGGAAGCUAGAGUAUGGGAGAGGAUGGUAGAAUUCCAGGUGUAGCGGUGAAAUGCGUAGAGAUCUGGAGGAAUACCGGUGGCGAAGGCGGCCCCCUGGACGAAGACUGACGCUCAGGUGCGAAAGCGUGGGGAGCAAACAGGAUUAGAUACCCCUGUAGUCCCUGUCUCUUAUAC